AAGUAUUUAUAUAUACUUUAUAUGUAUAUAAUUUAUAUAUACAUCCAUUUCAUUGAAAACUUUAAUUAUAUUAUACUAUUAAUAAAACGUUUUUAUGAACCUUGUUGCGUUUUUAAUAUAUUGCUUAAGUACUUGAAUCUUUGAAAUGCACUUAAUACACUUCUAUGGGCAAUAAAUUGAAAGCUCAUUCUCGUCUUUAGUUUUUUAAUGGGGGAUGUUAUACUUAGGCAGAUGAUGAACGUUUUUGUAUUAAAAACUUUGUUAGAUUUCUGAUAUCGUAUUUUUAUCGAAGGUAUGGAUUUUUAUUAAACAUAUUCUUCUCAAAUUUCAUAUUUGUUUUUUAAAUACCUACCAAAUUUCAUUGUGAAAAUUUGUAUUGCAGAAACUACACUAUAUUACUCGCAAAGUAGGUAUAUAAACAUCGACUUUUUUGACAAUUAUUUGUGUUAUCAUUUAAAAAAUAUAAUCAGGUCACGUGACCUUAAUAUUAAAACGCAAUUGGUAUUUUGUGAAUACAAUCAGUAACUAUUACUACCAUAAUGCCGCUGAUCGAACGGUAUAUUUUGAAACUAUUCGCAGUUUUCUUAAGGACUCCUUGUUGUCAACUUUUGUUACUUGAAUGCUCAUAACAUUUUAUAGAAUGAUCCAAUUUGUAAAACAAUGCAAAAGAAACUUUUAUGAGCUUCUUAUUGGAUGCUGUUUUAAAGUCAAAUAAAAACUUAACCAAAAUGGAUCCCACGCAUAUUACUGGGAGAGUAUUUAGGCAUUAUUCAAAAGGAUUAAAGAGAACAUCUAUUAAUAUCAAUAUUGAUCAAUGAUAGCUUAAUUAACUAUAAUCAAAUGUUGUAUUUUAUAUUUAUAUUGCAUUUUUCAAUAAUUUACUUUUUAUUUAUAAUAUACUAUCGAUUUUACUCUACAGAAUAUUUUAGUUUUUAUUUUGGA